UUUCUUGGUCAUUUAGAGGAAGUAAAAGUCGUAACAAGGUCUCCGUAGGUGAACCUGCGGAGGGAUCAUUACACAAAUAUGAAGGCGGGCUGGAACCUCUCGGGGUUACAGCCUUGCUGAAUUAUUCACCCUUGUCUUUUGCGUACUUCUUGUUUCCUUGGUGGGUUCGCCCACCACUAGGACAAACAUAAACCUUUUGUAAUUGCAAUCAGCGUCAGUAACAAAUUAAUAAUUACAACUUUCAACAACGGAUCUCUUGGUUCUGGCAUCGAUGAAGAACGCAGCGAAAUGCGAUAAGUAGUGUGAAUUGCAGAAUUCAGUGAAUCAUCGAAUCUUUGAACGCACAUUGCGCCCUUUGGUAUUCCAAAGGGCAUGCCUGUUCGAGCGUCAUUUGUACCCUCAAGCUUUGCUUGGUGUUGGGCGUCUUGUCUCUAGCUUUGCUGGAGACUCGCCUUAAAGUAAUUGGCAGCCGGCCUACUGGUUUCGGAGCGCAGCACAAGUCGCACUCUCUAUCAGCAAAGGUCUAGCAUCCAUUAAGCCUUUUUUUCAACUUUUGACCUCGGAUCAGGUAGGGAUACCCGCUGAACUUAAGCAUAUCAAUAAGCGGA
rnacentral:misc_RNA from 1 species